CUUUGUCCCAAGAGGACUGGUGAAGAGGAACAAAAUCCUGUUACUGAAUCCCCCAGAUGAAAUACUGAUGCAGUUUUCUUCAUUGGUUUCAGAACCCAAGCAGACCCAAUUUAGGACUCUACAAAACAACCAAAAAUCAAUGCAAAGAGGAAGAAGAUGGAGCCGCCAAUGUAAAUAGCUCAUUGACUGAGAAACGGGAAGUAGCUAGAGUUGCAGCCAUCACUCAUGAGUAUCUGUCACCCUUUUCCUGCCGUGGAAGAGAGUGGCUUGAGAUGCACUGAGCUCAGUUUGCCUUUUAACAUUUAUAAGAGACUUCAGAUGUUUAAGGUAGUUUAAAGUCUGGCAUUCCAUAAAGAAGAAGGAUACUACUGAUCACAGCCACAGAAUUAUUAUUCAUCUUCUUAGUUGAAAAAUAAGUUAUUUCUCUCAGUUUAAAAAAAUGCACUUGGAGGAGUACAAUUACACAGGUACUUUUUAGUUCUACUUUCCAAACACAGUUUUCUAAAUUUUACUUUAGUUUACUACGUUGUAAGAAAACUUAAUGAGAGGAAACCCUGGC
rnacentral:lncRNA from 1 species